rnacentral:rRNA from 1 species
UGGGGAAUUUUGGACAAUGGGGGAAACCCUGAUCCAGCCAUCCCGCGUGUGCGAUGAAGGCCUUCGGGUUGUAAAGCACUUUUGGCAGGAAAGAAACGUCAUGGGUUAAUACCCCGUGAAACUGACGGUACCUGCAGAAUAAGCACCGGCUAACUACGUGCCAGCAGCCGCGGUAAUACGUAGGGUGCAAGCGUUAAGCGGAAUUACUGGGCGUAAAGCGUGCGCAGGCGGUUCGGAAAGAAAGAUGUGAAAUCCCAGAGCUCAACUUUGGAACUGCAUUUUUAACUACCGGGCUAGAGUGUGUCAGAGGGAGGUGGAAUUCCGCGUGUAGCAGUGAAAUGCGUAGAUAUGCGGAGGAACACCGAUGGCGAAGGCAGCCUCCUGGGAUAACACUGACGCUCAUGCACGAAAGCGUGGGGAGCAAACAGG